rnacentral:rRNA from 1 species
AACGAACGCUGGCGGCAGGCUUAACACAUGCGAGUCGAGCGCCCCGCAAGGGGAGCGGCAGACGGGUGAGUAACGCGUGGGAAUCUACCCAUCCCUACGGAAUAGCUCCGGGAAACUGGAAUUAAUACCGUAUACGCCCUACGGGGGAAAGAUUUAUCGGGGAUGGAUGAGCCCGCGUUGGAUUAGCUAGUUGGUGGGGUAAAGGCCUACCAAGGUGACGAUCCAUAGCUGGUCUGAGAGGAUGAUCAGCCACAUUGGGACUGAGACACGGCCCAAACUCCUACGGGAGGCAGCAGUGGGGAAUAUUGGACAAUGGGGGCAACCUUGAUCCAGCCAUGCCGCGUGAGUGAUGAAGGCCUUAGGGUUGUAAAGCUCUUUCACCGGGGAAGAUAAUGACGGUACCCGGAGAAGAAGCCCCGGCUAACUUCGUGCCAGCCGCCGCGGUAA